UUCUGGCUCAGGAUGAACGCUAGCUACAGGCUUAACACAUGCAAGUCGAGGGGCAGCAUUGGGAUAGCUUGCUAUUCCAGAUGGCGACCGGCGCACGGGUGAGUAACGCGUAUCCAACCUUCCCUAUAGUAGAGAAUAGCCCGGCGAAAGUCGGAUUAAUGCUCUAUGUUGUGUUUUUGAGGACAUCUGACGAACACCAAAGGUUCACCGCUAUAGGAUGGGGAUGCGUCUGAUUAGCUUGUUGGCGGGGUAACGGCCCACCAAGGCGACGAUCAGUAGGGGUUCUGAGAGGAAGGUCCCCCACAUUGGUACUGAGACACGGACCAAACUCCUACGGGAGGCAGCAGUGAGGAAUAUCGGUCAAUGGGCGAGAGCCUGAACCAGCCAAGUAGCGUGCCAGGAAGACGGCCCUAUGGGUUGUAAACUGCUUUUGUGCGGGAAUAAAGUCAGGGACGUGUCCCUGUUUGCAUGUACCGCAAGAAUAAGGACCGGCUAAUUCCGUGCCAGCCGCUGC
rnacentral:rRNA from 1 species